rnacentral:misc_RNA from 1 species
GAUGAAGAACGUAGCGAAAUGCGAUACGUAGUGUGAAUUGCAGAAUUCAGUGAAUCAUCGAAUCUUUGAACGCACAUUGCACCUCUCGGUAUUCCGGGAGGUAUGCCUGUUCGAGCGUCAUUUGUACCCUCAAGCUCUGCUUGGUGUUGGGUGUUUGUUCCGCCUCUGUGUGUGAACUCGCCUCAAAACAAUUGGCAGCCGGCGUACUUGUUUCGGAGCGCAGCACAUUUUGCGAUCCAGAUCACGUACAGCGGCAUCCAAGAAGCCUUAUUUAACGCUCUUGACCUCGGAUCAGGUAGGGAUACCCGCUGAACUUAAGCAUAUCAAUAAGCGGAGGA